rnacentral:rRNA from 1 species
CGCUGGCGGCGUGCUUAACACAUGCAAGUCGAACGGUGAUGGUGGGGCUUGCCCCACCUGAUCAGUGGCGAACGGGUGAGUAACACGUGAGUAACCUGCCCCUGACUCUGGGAUAACUGCUGGAAACGGUGGCUAAUACCGGAUAUGAAGUGGCCUCGCAUGGGGUUGCUUGGAAAGAUUUUUCGGUCAGGGAUGGACUCGCGGCCUAUCAGCUUGUUGGUGGGGUGAUGGCCUACCAAGGCGACGACGGGUAGCCGGCCUGAGAGGGCGACCGGCCACACUGGGACUGAGACACGGCCCAGACUCCUACGGGAGGCAGCAGUGGGGAAUAUUGCACAAUGGGCGCAAGCCUGAUGCAGCGACGCCGCGUGAGGGAUGAAGGCCUUCGGGUUGUAAACCUCUUUCAGCAGGGAAGAAGCGCAAGUGA